rnacentral:snoRNA from 13 species
GCCUCGUGGUUCCCAGAGUCGGCUGACUCCAAAGUGCUGAUCUGUGGGUUUUUGUCAACAGGCGCACAUUAAGUCUGUGAUUUUAUGCAUGGAAGCUGCCACCAUAGCAGCCUUCCAUAGCCCGGUCUCAGAUACAUUU